rnacentral:lncRNA from 1 species
GGAGCGGAGGCGGUACGGACCGAGAGUUGAGCGUGGUGCAGGUCGGCAUCCCCUCGGGUCGGGUGGCUCGGGCCGGACGCCGGCCAGGCCCAGCGGAGGUCUCACUGCGGGCUAGUGCUGCGUGUGGCGUGCCCGUGGGGGCAAGACUUGAGUGGUCUGGGGCCUAAAUGAAGCCUUAUUAGGCUUCCCGAGUCGGCGUUGCUCACUCCUGGCAAGGCCAGCUCCCUGUGAGCACCGAUCUGUAAUUCAGGCUUUGGCGUGGUUUCGGCAUGGUCGCGGGAAAAGGAAACCAGAUGUGUGCUGUUACCGUCAGCCGAUAAGCAGACGCGUUUCUUGUGUGUCUAUUUCUUGGGAAUGUGAGACAAGUAUAGUAACACUUUGCGUUGCUAGUUCCACGAGGUUGGGUAAGGAUGAAGAGCCCAAGAUUGCAGCAUUUCAGGGCUGUUUAUGAUUGAACUCCAAAUGCAAAAAUUUCCAAGACAUUUCGCCUGUCAUAUAAUGUGUUCUGUGGGAAGGGAGUCAAGUUCUGUGUUUAAAAAAUGGCGGUGGUAUCUUGGAUGUUUAAAAAAAAGGGGGGGGGGGGCGAGAGGGAUAUUGUACCUCAUCAAAUUAUACGAUCAGUUCUUAGUACUUCACAAGCAAAUAUUGAAAACAGUCUUAUCUGGUCCUGAAUUUGUCCACAAUUCAAAAUAGGAGAAAUUUAAAGAAUAUUCCCUUGGGAGGCAAAUCAGCUUAGUGUGUUGGAAAAAGUAGCCUUGUUCCGCCGAUCUGUGUAGUGCCCCAAAGUUGAGUAGAAAGAUAAGUCCUGGAUGCCUUCUACAGAGUGGUUUCAAUUUAGUUGAUAAGUAUUUGAAUCUAUCUAAAAAAAAUCAAGAAUAGGUAAAUCGGAAAGAGUUGUACUUUUGCCUCAUUGAAAAGUGCCUCCAAAUGAAUAUGUUUGUCCAUAUCAAAUAUGUGGACCCAGGGAUAAGUAGUCAGAAGUGUAAAAGAUUGUCUUUGUGUGAGUUUAUAACUGAGUUAGAAUCUGACUUUGAGCCUAAAAAUAGAUGUUAUGUGCAAAGCAGACAGGAUGAAACUGCAUAAGUAUCAUUAUUUUUAGAGAAAUUGAGUGGAAAAAAAAGUUUUUCAGCCCAAUUUGCAGAGUAGACCAUCAGGAUGCUAGUUAUUUGCCCUAGGAACCGCCCUUGUUUUCUAAUUCUUUACAACUCUCCCCCACCCAACUCCAGCUGCAUCGCCCUGCACGUAUUUGAUGUUAAGUAUAGGUAUACUUACAUGCAUCUAUGUCCUUGUUGUCAUUGAUUGUUAUUAUAUACUACUGGAGACAAUGUCAGAAUCCACAGGCUGACAAUUCAGUCACAAAAUUGUCCCAGCCUCUUCCAAGUCACACACUGAACCAUCAGAAUUCCCUUCCAACUAGCUACAAGCUGAGAGUCCUUCAUCCCCUCUUCAAAUGCAUUUGAUUUGCUUGUGUGGCCCACAGAUCUCAGGGGACACUAUGCUUGCAUUUGAUGGUUAUUAUAAAGGCGAUUUUAACAGAUUUAAACAUACAGGCAGGUGGAGUAGGUAAGGGACUAGAGCACAGGUGCUUCCUCCCUGUGCAGCCGAGGUGGGCUUCCUUACAGUGAGCGGAUGCCCUUGCAUCAUCAACUGUCCAGAAGCUACCGGAAGUCCUGAUGGGGUUUUAGAGAGGGUUUUAUAGGCUUACUUGCUAACCGAGUGAAAGGAAAUCCUCAGGGCCUGUCAGGUUCUUUGGCUUUCCUCCCUCCAAGGGAGGAAAUAAGGCAGAAUCCGGUAUUCAUCUACUGUUAUACUGGGACAAUUUAAGUUGAACUUUCUAUUACCCCUCCUCAGAAAGGAGUUUUAAGUCAGAAAUCCAGGG